UGCCUUAAGUUUUAGCUUUCAUAUUUUUCAGAUUCUGUGCUGCCUUAGUGUGCAACUCUGAACUCCAUAUAAAGUGUUAGCAAGUUCUCUUCACAGGGGAGUUAGACAAAACAAUCCUUUUCCAGCCUGAGAACCAAGGACACUGCUACAGCUUCAGGCCCAUCAAUAAUGUAAAAGUGACUAUCUCUGUUUGCAUCACCUUCCUGCUGGCUUGGUGGCUGUGAUUGCUCCAAUGGAGGCAUCCAUAGAGGAGAUAUCCACGGCAAGGAGGAAGGCUCAAAGGUGGCGGCUGCAAGGGGAACGGAAAAGGAAAGGAUUUUUGUGAUUUU
rnacentral:lncRNA from 1 species